GCAGAGAGCUGAGAUGGGUCAGAGUUCAAGAGGGUAGAGAUGGAAGCAACAGUGUUAUAAGGAGGUUGGGAUCUGAAGGUGAGGUAAGCCUGGCAAGUCCUGUUUAGGCCAUUGCAGGAGUAUCCAAGAACGGAAUCUCCUGUAUUGGAACAAUUUGUUGUGGCUUUUCCCUCAUAAAGCUGCUGGGCAUGAAUCAAAGGACAGAAAACAAGAACAGACAGAAUAAAAAGGGGGACAACAGAAGAGAAUAUCAUUUUAAAUUGGGAAGAUAAGAUCUAAUGUUGU
rnacentral:misc_RNA from 1 species